GGGGGGGUGGUCACAGGGGUCCUGUUCCCGAAAUCCUGGGCUUAAAAACAUGAAAUCCCGAGGUCCAGAAUUAAAAAAAAAAAUCCUGACAUUCCGAACAUCGAAAAAAGAAAUCCCGGAUCCCGAAAUGGUCAAUCCCGAAAUCCCGAGCUUAAAAACACGUGAUCCCGACGUCCCGAAAAAGGUCCUGCCCCCUCAUUAAUCAGUAUUGGCAAAAAUAGGUGCAUUUACCACAAUGAAAGAUAAAUGUGAUAAAAGAAUAUACAUUCAAACAAAAAGAGGUGCACCAACAGAAAAUAGAAACC
rnacentral:lncRNA from 1 species